CCUACGGGAGGCAGCAGUGAGGAAUAUUGGUCAAUGGGCGCGAGCCUGAACCAGCCAAGUAGCGUGAAGGAUGACUGCCCUACGGGUUGUAAACUUCUUUUAUAAAGGGAUAAAGUGAGGCACGUGUGCCUUUUUGUAUGUACUUUAUGAAUAAGGUUCGGCUAACUCCGUGCAAGCAGCCGCGGUAAUACGGAGGAUCCGAGCGUUAUCCGGAUUUAUUGGGUUUAAAGGGAGCGUAGAUGGGUUGUUAAGUCAGUUGUGAAAGUUUGCGGCUCAACCGGAAAAUUGCAAUUGAUACUGGCAGCCUUGAGUACAGUUGAGGUAGGCGGAAUUCGUGGUGUAGCGGUGAAAUGCUUAGAUAUCACGAAGAACUCCGAUUGCGAAGGCAGCUUACUAAACUGCCACUGACAUUGAUGCUCGAAAGUGUGGGUAUCAAACAGGAUUAGAUACCCCUGUAGUC
rnacentral:rRNA from 1 species